UUCCUUGACGCAGAAACAACCCAUUAUAUAGUUUCGGUCUUGUGUCGCAAUAUUAAAAGCCAGACUUUUCAAAGAUUGAGGCUUUUAUUGGCAGUGACUGACAUUGGAUCUACUCGCAUUAGCAUAGGCUACCCGUAAAGAGGGAUCAUUAGAGUAUUUACCACUCUAGAUUAGAAAACGAUCACAAUAAAGUAAAAAAAAAGUAUAUAUAUAUAUACAAACCCAAUAUCGGGAUGGAAUAUAAAUUUUAUUAAAUAUUUGGAGAAAGCGUAUUUUGUUUGACUGAAAGUUUAAAUGCUUGGACUUAAAAUCCGAAAACACAGAGUUUGAUUCUAAGGUGGUAUCUGUAAUGACGCCCGACGAACAGUGGAAGCUGCUUUAUCAAGCCGAGGUCAACUGUGGCCAGGAAAUACUAAAAUAUUUAAACCAUUCCAGAUAUGAGACAACAGCAGAAACACCAAAAUGUGGAGUAAUAUGGGAUAAAGUUUUAUGUUGGAAUGAAUCACCAGCCGGAUCCCUGGUUAAACAACCGUGUCCUAACUAUAUUCAUGGUUUUAACGACAAUGAAUAUGCUACACGAUAUUGUACACCAGAGGGUGAUUGGUAUUUCCACCCAGAACUUAAUAAAACUUGGACGAACUUCUCGUCCUGUUCGAGAACAUCAUCCACAGAUUUAUCCUUUCAUUUUGAUGGAUUACGAUUGUUGUAUACAAUUGGUUAUGGUAUAUCGCUGGGAUCAUUGAUAAUAGCUGUUUUUAUAAUGAUGUGUUGCAGUCGAUUGAAGUCUAAAAGCAACACUCUUCAUCUAAAUCUCUUCUUUGCCUUCAUGCUACGAGCUGCUCUCUCGUUUCUUAAAGAAGCUCUGUUUGUCAAUGGUGUUGGUUUUGAUAAAGACAUCAAAGAAGAAAAUGGAACCUUAAUG